GGUGGCUCAGUGGUAGAGCACUUGCCUUGCAUGCAUGAAGGCCCUGAGUUCGAUUCCUCAGCACCA
rnacentral:tRNA from 1 species